rnacentral:rRNA from 1 species
UACGUAGGGACCAAGCGUUGUCCGGUAUCAUUGGGCGUAAAGAGCGUGUAGGCGGCUUGUUAAGUCUUGCGUGAAAUCUCGGGGCUCAACCCCGAGCGGUCGUGAGAAACUGGCAGGCUAGAGUGCGGGAGAGGAGAGUGGAAUUCCUGGUGUAGCGGUGAAAUGCGCAGAUAUCAGGAAGAACACCCGUGGCGAAGGCGGCUCUCUGGAACGCAACUGACGCUGAGACGCGAAAGCGUGGGGAGCAAACAGG